rnacentral:rRNA from 1 species
AUUGAACGCUGGCGGCAUGCCUUACACAUGCAAGUCGAACGGCAGCACGGGGGCAACCCUGGUGGCGAGUGGCGAACGGGUGAGUAAUACAUCGGAACGUGUCCUGUAGUGGGGGAUAGCCCGGCGAAAGCCGGAUUAAUACCGCAUACGAUCUACGGAAGAAAGCGGGGGAUCGCAAGACCUCGCGCUAUAGGGGCGGCCGAUGGCAGAUUAGCUAGUUGGUGGGGUAAAGGCCUACCAAGGCGACGAUCUGUAGCUGGUCUGAGAGGACGACCAGCCACACUGGGACUGAGACACGGCCCAGACUCCUACGGGAGGCAGCAGUGGGGAAUUUUGGACAAUGGGGGAAACCCUGAUCCAGCAAUGCCGCGUGUGUGAAGAAGGCCUUCGGGUUGUAAAGCACUUUUGUCCGGAAAGAAAACUUCUGCCCUAAUACGGCGGGAGGAUGACG